rnacentral:rRNA from 1 species
ACAGCGGGAAGCCACCUGGCGACAGGGCGCGGAACCCGAAACCCCGUCUCAGUUCGGAUUGGAGUCUGCAACUCGACUUCGUGAAGCUGGAUUCGCUAGUAAUCGCGCAUCAGCCAUGGCGCGGUGAAUACGUUCCCGGGCCUUGUACACACCGCCCGUCAAGCCAUGAAAGCCGGGGGUACCUGAAGUACGUAACCGCAAGGAUCGUCCUAGGGUAAAACUGGUGACUGGGGCUAAGUCGUAACAAGGUACC